UCUGGUAAUGAUGGCAGAGAGGUCACACCCGUUCCCAUACCGAACACGGAAGUUAAGCUCUUUAGCGCCGAUGGUAGUUGGGACCUUGUCCCUGUGAGAGUAGGACGUUGCCAGGC
rnacentral:rRNA from 4 species